GACGAACGCUGGCGGCGUGCUUAACACAUGCAAGUCGAACGGAAAGGCCCUGCUUUUGUGGGGUACUCGAGUGGCGAACGGGUGAGUAACACGUGAGUAACCUGCCCUUGACUUUGGGAUAACUUCAGGAAACUGGGGCUAAUACCGGAUAGGAGCUCCUGCUGCAUGGUGGGGGUUGGAAAGUUUCGGCGGUUGGGGAUGGACCCGCGGCUUAUCAGCUUGUUGGUGGGGUAGUGGCUUACCAAGGCUUUGACGGGUAGCCGGCCUGAGAGGGUGAACGGCCACAUUGGGACUGAGACACGGCCCAGACUCCUACGGGAGGCAGCAGUGGGGAAUAUUGCACAAUGGGCGGAAGCCUGAUGCAGCAACGCCGCGUGCGGGAUGACGGCCUUCGGGUUGUAAACCGCUUUCACCAGUGACGAAGCGUUAGUGACGGUAGUGGGUAAAGAAGCACCGGCUAACUACGUG
rnacentral:rRNA from 1 species